rnacentral:lncRNA from 1 species
GGAAGAUACAGGAAACAUGAGGCAAACAAAUCCUAGCUUAGAGACGACAGAAAAAAGAACUGCUUUGUUUAUUAACUCUAAGUAUCUUAUCACUUGAUAUUCUUGCUCUAUUUCUGAGGAAGACAGAAAAAAAGUGUUAAAUUUUCCUUCACUUUCCAUGGGGAAGGGAGUUGCAGUUGACUUUUAACUCCAGAUUUUACUUUCUGCCAGUACUGCUGCAGAAAAUAAAAGCUACUUAAACAUAAUGUCAAAGGACAUAUGCUAGUUUAUUUUGCUGCCAUCUCUGUGGCUUUCAUCCAAGGUCACUCUUAUUAUGGGAAGCCUGAGCCCAAGAUUUAUUCUGCUGCAGGAGAUUGCCUAACAGGACACUGACAGAAUUUCCGAAGCUGUAUGAAAGCAUUGGAAAGCAUUUUGUCCUUUCCUGGAUGGUUUCUGUUUCACAAAGUAUUAUUAUUAUUUUCUUGUUACCAUUUUCUUACUGUUUAUUAUAAUAUCUUUUUGGUUGAAGACAAAUAGGGGGGACAAAAUAACCAGCUGUAGAUAUAAUCUUUGAAGACUCAAAUUGGUAACUGCUAGUGUAUGUAGCUCUAAUGGGGACAUAAGAAGAAAAGAAAGGGAAAAACAAAAAAGACACACCACCUGAUUUCAGGCACUGAAUUUAGGAAGCUUAUCUUGUUAGGCUUCUGUAGUAGAGGAGGCAAGGGCCAGAGGUGUGCUUCUAAGCCAUUGGCUGCUCUAAAUCACCCUCUGGGAAAACCUACUUUCUUUUGUUGUAAGGAAAGCUCAGGGGAAUGAACCAUCCAGGUCGGGUGGGUAAGUGUGCUAACAUGAAUACACCUCAGGUGGUUUUAUUUGGAGAAGAGAAACAGGAGGAUUAUAACCAUCUGAUUAGGGAAAAGAAAGCCUCCACUUUUUGUUUGCUGAUUGUGUGCAAGUGUGCAGUCAGUUUUGCUGACGUUCAUACAUGAGAGAUUCUGAAACAUGGGAGUAAUUUGAUGCAUACGCUUUGCUUGCUACAGUAAAUUACAGCCUUUCCUUGCCCAGGAGCUGAGCUAUAGUUUUUCUUCUGUUUCACAGUGUGAUACGUUGCCUUAAUUGCACCAUCUAUUGUGACAUUUUUGAUGCUUUUCAUUUUUGUCUUUCAUUGUGGGUGCUCCAACACGAGUAAAUGACACUACAGCAUUCAGAAAGCUUGUCAGGCUGUGUUCAGGUCAGCACUUCGUCAGUGACUGCUGUGAAAAAUAGUCAAUGAACAUCAAAGUUAUAGGACCUUGAAAAGGCAGUCAGGAGGAGCAGCCUGGAAAUCUGCAGAACAGAAGCACCUAAAGAAAGCAGAUUUCAUAUUGAUUAGUCUCUUCCUUAAGUAUAGUGGACCCACCACAGGGAUGAAUGUCAUCUUUACAGAGGAAGAAAAAUAACAGGAAGAAUUACAUCGUGCGGCAGUUUUUCAUUGCGGUGAAUUUAAGAGUGAGGCACAACAUGUGUUUUACUGGGCCUCCACCUCUUGCUUGGAUCCUUCUAGGUGGCUGUCAGGCAGACACCGAGCCAAGCUGAUGGCUUUCUGCUUGCAGAGGGAACAGCUCACAGGUAGCCUUACAGAUUCAGCAGGUAAGUGAGUUCAAGCUCACCACAUGGGAAAAAUAAACAAGGACAUUCUUUCCCAUGAUGGCAUCCUUUUUGUAGCAAAAGGAGUUGUGGAGGAGGGGAAAUGGCUGAUGAGCCAAUAGAUGUCAUUUCUCUGUGGUUAGGCUGAUUAUUUUUCUGUCUCAUGGAUAGCAAGCCAACAGCAGUUGCAUGAUGUAUAUUGCAUCCAAGGGAUAAAGUAGGCCUACUAGCUGAACUAGGACAAAAGAUAUCCUUCGGGCAGAUCUAGUAGCCAGUACCACAGUGAGUUUCUACUACACACUCUGUUCCCUGGAUUUACUGCUCACUGAAUGGAAAUGUAGAAAUGAGCAGAUUAGCUUCCUCUCUGUAAAGAAAGAGAGGCACUUUAGAAAGCAAGGUAGAUAUUUCAGAUUAUUUGCAGGCACAGCCAAGGAAUCAGGAACACUAAGUAAGUGACCAUGUGCAAAAGGAUUAUUCCAAUGCAAUGUCCUAGGGUAAAGGCAAAGCAAAGCUACUUGAGCUUAGAUGCAGGCUCCCACAGAAGGGCUGUUUUCUACUGUAGGAAUGAGUCACAGCAGCUGAAUAAUAAAGACUGUCCUAAAAGACAGCCUCAGACAUCAAGCUCCUGCUUAUUACACCUCAGAACAGCAGCUCACUGGGCUUUGUAAGAGCAUCAUUCUCCUAUCUCACAAAGCAGGGAGAUCACAAAAACUCCCCUUUACCUUACAGGACAUAGUGCUGGAGACUGUGGGUCCAGCCUCAGCUCAGGGAAAGAUGUUUCCUAUAUCCCAUCUGACUCUGCCAAGCAUUUGGUUACUAACGUGGUCUGUGAGAGCAUCUCCUUUCCUCAUUGCUGGCAAGAGCUUUUGCAAGUAGAGUUCCUCUAAGAGAGUUUAUUUUGAUGAAGUUGGAGUGUAUGUUUAUGUUUUUCUUUGGCGGAAAAUACUUGUAGAUGUCCUGGGGUUUCAAGAUAACUGAAAUUGCCUUUUUAAUAGCUAGACUAUUUGCUCAACGUCCGCAUUGCUGUUUUGGUUAAAUCUGGGAUAGAGUUAAAUUUCUUCCUAGUAGCUGGUGUGGUGCUGAGUUUUGGAUUCAGAAUGAGGAUAGUGUUGAUCACGCAUCAAUAUUUCAGUUGUUGCUGAGCAGUGUUUACACUAAUUCAAGGACUUUUCUAUUUUUUGCACUGCUCUGUCAGCGAGAGGGCUGGGAAUGGGCACAAGAAGCUGGGAGGGGACAGAACCAGGACAGCCAUUCUAAACUGGCCAAAGGGAUAUUCCAUACCAGAUGGUGUCGUGCUGAACAACAAAACGGGAAGGAGUUGGCUGGGGGUUGGCCACUGGUCAGAGUUUGGGCUGGGCAUCAGGUAGUGGGUGGUGGACAACUGGGAUAUGCGUCACUUGCUUUGUUUAUAGUUUUAUCGUCAUUACUAUUUCCUCUUCUUUUCCUGUCCUAUUAUACUAUCUUUAUCUCACACGGCGAGGUGUACUGGUUCCUGCUACUUCUGGAAGCAAGGUUACCCAGUAAAGCUGAUACCGUUCUGCCAGUUCUCUCAUAGCUGCAAGAUUGUCUACCAUGCUUUGAACUCAGGAAAUCUUGUUUUUGAAACAUGCAACUCAGCAGUCAUGGAAGAGAGAAAGCUGUGGAAGAGGAAUAGAGGAGGGCUGCCCACCUCCUCCUUCAGAUGGGAAAGUCCUCACAGUUGUUUUCCCGCCAACCACGUCUGAACAUUGGAAUCUGCCCCAAGUUUCUGCGUGAGUUGAUGAGAAGAUGUGCUUUGGGCUGAUGCUAAUAAUUUUGAUUUCUGGGACUGGAAAUAAAGACAAAAAGGCACCUUAAUUCUAUCCACUAAAUCUUCUCAGAGGAAUUCUCUUGGCCUCUUCUGUUACAAGCAUCAUCCUUUGGUUUUCUCUUCAAAACUAUUUUAUAUACUGGGAGUCGUCAUCCCGGGAGGCAUGAACAAGAAUCUGGUGACAGGAGCAUCAUGAAGUUCAAGACUUCAAAUGUGAAGUCCUGCACCCUGUAAAUAGUGACACCAUGCAACAGUACAAACUGGGGACAGGCUGACUAGAAACUAGCUUUACAUAAGAGGACCUAGAGGUCCUGAUGGACAUCGAGCUGAAUGUGAGUCAAGAAUGUGCCACUGCGUGAAUGAGAGCCAAGCACAAAAGACACUGGGCUGCAUUAGUAACAGCAGAGGCAGUGGGUUGAGAUAGCCAGCAGAGGUGAAUAUUGCACCCCUCUGAGGAGAAGAAAAUCCCCCAGGCAAGCAGAGAGCAAGAUUGACAUUUCUCAUUAUUUCUGUACUCCAGGUAAUAUAUAUAAACUUUUUUUUUUUCCCUGGGAGCCCUUCAAACCAAGCAAAUGAAGACAUUUCUUCUGUACAGUCAACGACACUCCAAAAGGUCUGAUCUGCUCUCUGAAAUUUCCCCUGAUUUUGCUGUGGCCCUCAGGCUGUAACUCACUGAUCUCAGGCACACAACGUGGCUAUCCCAAAAUCUCAAGUUUUGCUUUGACCAAGUAUUUACCAUAACGAAUAGAAACUAUUCCUUGAACAACAACGUCUUUUACCACUUGCAAAUCUCCAUCUAAUCUGACUGUCCUUAUCUAUAAGCGGAGAGAAUGAAAAGCAGAGAUAUAAAACCCAAAGGUUAAGUACAUAUUUUUUGCAACUGUUUAAUGUUCAGCAUUCUCAUGCUGUGAAGAACAUGCAAAGUUUCUGCAUUCUUUCUAUUGGGUGCAUUCGUUACCAAAGCAGACUUGCUAUCGGUUUGGGAUGUAAACUGACCUGGUGUCACUGCAAUUUGCCUGUUUUCAUGUGUGUGCUUGGUUUGCUUUUGGCAUACAGGCACUUACGGCUGAUCCAAAGUCAUUCAAAAGCUCAGCAGAUGCUUCUGUGAAUCUCUUCUAUGUUUAGAAAUGGAAAUGAAGCACGAAACCAGGUGCUUUCUGUGCUGUCCUGAAUUAUGGAUUUUAUCCUUCAUGUUAUAACACAGUUUACUUGUCUUCUGGUUUAUCGUUUUUGAAGAAGGUAUGAGGUAAAAUACCAAGAUCUCCCUGACAAAGUCUUGUAGGACUCCAGGAACUGCUGUCUUCUGUACGGGUCCUCUCCAAUUCAACAGCACCCUUUCAGCUGACAUCAAAAGGGGUGAGUGAGGGCUGUGUGGAGUACAAGGAGCCAACACUGCUCAUAAGACAGAAAUUCGCCACUGAUUUUGUGAAAUUCUCUGUACUGGAUUAUGCAGGAGAUCAGAAAAGAAGAUUUUCGGAGUCUCUUCCUCUAACUCUUGCAACUUACUCUUGGGAACUGGUAUUAUCAGGCGAGUAUGGACUGGAUGAUCUCCAGAGGUCCCUUCCAACCACUGCGAUUCUGUGAUUCUGAUUCUAAUCUCACAGAGAAUAUGGGACUAAUAUUUCUAAGUUUAAGAAUCAGAGGGUUUUUUUCAAACCAUUUUAGGAGGAGGCAAGAAACACUUUGGUUUAGCUUUCUGGUCUGAAAAUAUCAAUAGUUUGUUGCAUUUUUGAAAAGAGCCACAGGAAUCAUAGAUCAAAGAACCAUAGAAUGGCUUGAGUUGGAAGAGACCACAAAGCCCACGCAGCCCCAACCCUCUGCCAUGGGCAGGGCUGCCCCCCACCAGCUCAAGCUGCCCAGGACCCCAUCCAACCUGGCCCUGAGUGCCUCCAGGGAUGGGGCACCCACAGCUUCUCUGGGCAGCUGUGCCAGGGCCUCACCGCCCUCUGAGUAAAGAUUUUCUGCCUAACAUCUAACCCAAAUCUCCCCACUUUUAGUUUAAAGCCAUUUUCCCUUGUCCUAUCGCUAUUAGACUGUGUGAGAUGUUGGUUCUCCUCCUGUUUAUAAACUCCUCUCAAGUACUGGAAGGCCACAGAGAGGUGUCCCCGGAGCCUUCUCUUCUCCAGGCUGAACAAGCCCAGCUCCCUCAGCCUUUCUUCACAGGAGAGGUGCUCCAGCCCUCUGAGCAUCUUCGUGGCCCUCAUCUAGACAUUCUCCAACAGCUCCACAUCUUUCUUGUGCUGGAGGCCCCAGGUCUGAAUGCAGUACUGGGCCUCAUGAAGGCAGAGCAGAGGGGAAUAAUCACCUUCCUCUCCCUGCUGGCCACCCCUCUGUUGAUGCUGACCAGGAUACUGUUGGCCUUCUGGGCUGCAAGAGCACACUGGUGGCUCAUGUCAAGCCUAUUAUCUAUCAGAGACCGUGGGUCCUCCUCCGCGGGGCUGCCCUCAAUGAGUUCUUCUCCCAGACUGUACACGUAUCAGGAAUUACCCUGACCUGAGUGCAACACCUUGGUCAAGCCAUUGCUCUCAUGGCUACGGGUUUGUUGUUUGGACACAAUAAUGUACAGAUGGGCUUUGCAUUUAUCAAGAAUAAUCACCAGCUGAGAUGCUGAGUGGAGGAAAACUAUUAUCGUCGUGACUGACCAGAGUCUGGCAGCAUUCUUUGUUGUUUGUGGCUUAUUCUUGAAAUUAGAUUUCAGAGACUAAACUGACCUCUCUGUAAGCUGAGCUCAGAAGAUGAAGGCCAAUAAUGGGAGAAGGAGCACAUCUCAAGGCAAAAGGUUUAACCGUCUGCCUCUUGGUAACCUGCAGGAAAUCCACCAAACAUCAUUUCAUUUGCAGUGAUUAAAGGUGAACAAUAUAGCUCUGUGUAGGAUUUCUUGCAUUUGAGACACGUUUCAUUAAUUAUUACCUCUUCAUUUAUAUUUUCUACUCUAGAAUAAGUCUUGCUGUGGGAAGCGGGGUGUAGGAAACACGAGGUGGUGCUUUUCAGCGACAAACCUUCAACUAUGGCAUUGUUUUUCAUACUUGCAAUAUUCAGCCACAGUAUCCACAAGGGAGGUACCACAAUUGCAAAAUGCUAUUUAAAAUAAUGGCGUGUUUUAGAAGAGCUUCCAAUGUCUCUCAUAAUAUUUGCAGAUAAUCUCAGUUUGCCAAUCUGUCAAGUAAUUAUUCUCCAUCUGUGAUAUCCAGUGAUAACCAGUUAGACUUUCAAAUUCAUUUUUACCAACAUUGGUGAGCUCAUCACUCGCCUGUUGAAAGAACAGAACACAAACAUUAAAAAAGUGCAAAGGCAAUGUAUUUAUUAUUGUAGCAUGCAGUCAAACCUGCAUAAUAACUACUAAUUAAAGUGUUAAGGCCUUAAUUUUAGAAAGACAGAGAGGCUUUCUGCUUUUGUACAGUACCAUACACACAUCAUUUUUAUGCUUUGCUUUCUGUGAUUAGUGACCAAGGCCUGGCAUGAGACAAUUUUACUUAAUCAGCUGUAUGCAUUAAAUACCAGCAGCUGCAAUUAGACAUUCUUUUGUAUCACAUACUACGCUUCACGCUGCUAUUUGCUCCUGACCUUGGCAGGCACUUCUGCUGUGUUUGGAGAGGAGCACAGUGAAAUUCAGAAUUCUUUUUUUCACAGCCUGGAUGUUGGCAGAUGUGCACACACAUUCUUGCCCCACAGACCAAACAGAGCAACUUCAGAAGUGCAGCAGGAGUUCCUUUAAAACAGACUGGGAAGGAAAGGUGGGAAUGAACGAAACCUCUACCCCGUGCCUUAACACUUUUGAGUACGAUGUUGGUUUGCAAUGCUUACGUAUCACUUUGGACAUUACACAUUGGCACUGAGUACCUAAAACAAGAGACUUGAGCUUUCCAUUUGCUUUGCACAUCUGUUUUGUCGGGUCCUGUGCUCGUAGCAUCAUUUUUUCCCAGCUGCAGUAUCACAACUGGACACUAGAGAGCUCCUUUUACCAAAGACAUCUCUCCAACGUGAGGGCAGAGCCCUGUGAGGUUUUGCAGAGAAACACUCAUUAUUCUUGCAACAGAAUCUAGGGAAGCUCUGUCUCAGCAUACAUGACCUCUGCUGUACAAAGAAAAAGGUUGCGUUGUGCCUGAGGAACAAAGCUCUGGAAUUAAGUCUAUAACAGCUAAGAUAUGCUGGGCCACGGAGCAUCUUUGCAAGUCUCUAAACAGCCCACAGGAAAAUCUCAGAAGGACCCUCAGAUUCUCAGGAGUGCAGAUGACUACUGAAGAAGCAAGGACCUCUAAGGAGGGUCCACUUCAGCCCACCUCCAGUCUGAGGGUCAUUUAGACAUAUGGAACAACGCAGAGAGAAAAGGGAGCACUGAAAAGCUGCUCCAGUAAUUCCCAGCUGCCUCUUCCCCACUCUACUUCCUCCUGAUGCUGCCCUUUUCAAUUGGCCACUGAACUGGGGUUUCAAAUUAUUUCUCUCGAGAAGCUGUACAGAGUUUUAUUGCUUUGAUUCUAACUGAUCUAUUGGCUGCCUGCGCAUUUCUCAGCCACUUUCUGAAAACAGCAGCUGGUACAGAUGAUGUUUGCAGGUGAAAAGUGGAGCUGCCUAAUAGCUUUCCAGCUGAUAUAGCACCAGCACUGGAUUAGGUCAUUGUAAUGGCAGCUGAAAACUUUGCUUUAACACAGCUUGAGCAGCUCGGUACACCUUGGUUUAGUGAGAAGAAGCAGUGUCCAGCGUGGCUGGUUGAGGUACUGCUGUAUCUCAAGUGUUUGUCCAACACGAGCACCAGAAAGUUGAGCACAGUGAAAUAAAACCAGAUCUGCUUGCGAAAACAAAAUGGAAAAAAGUCACCUGAAAGAAAAAUCCAUAUUCCUUUCUCAGUAGCUUUUAUGAAAACUUUUUCCUUCCUCAAAUUACAGUGACUCCAUGUGGCUUACUCCACAAUGCAGAUUUUAAUAUAUUUUUACUAAAAUUUAUUCCAGCUGUUGCUAAUCAUAGAGAUAUGAAUAAUAUUAUUAUACAGAGAAAAAUCUUGACUAGACUUGGUGCAGAUUUAUUCAUUUGUAAUUUUUCCAUCUUAAAUCCAAAUAUUAAAAGCCAGAUGAAAGGAAGGAAAGGUAAUUGUAACUGCUGGCUUCUACUUCACCAUGAUGAAAUUGAGCUUGCUCAGUAAUCAAAGAAUAAGCGUAGAGAUUUUUAUCAGAGUAUCUGAUUUUAUCAGACCAUUUGCAGGGACUGCAAUUCAAUAGAAACCGGGGAUGCCAGAUCUUUCGUAUAAAUCACUUUUGGGAGAGGACUGCUGCUGAGCUCCAGCUCAGACAUGCCCAGAAAAAAAUCAACCAACUGAAGUUGAAUAGGGAACACACUGGGGGUCUUCAAACUCUGUCAUUAUUGCAGCAUGUAAACUUCUAGGAGGCCAUUACAUUGAGAAAUGUGCUGCCAGCUCUGAAGGCUGAGUCCAGUCAUAGAAUCAUAGAAUGGUUUGGGUUGGAAGGGACCUUUAAUAUCAUCCAGUUCCAACCCUCUGCUAUGGGCAGGGACACCUCCCUCUAGACCAGGUUGCUCAAAGUCCCAUCCAGCCUGGCCUUGAAUGCUUCCAGGGAGGGGGCAUUCACAACCUUUCUGGGCAACCUGUUCCAGUGUCUCACCACACUCACAGUAAAUAACUGCUUCCUGAUAUCUAGUCUAAGUCUACUGAUUCAGUUCAGUCCUUGGUCGAAAAUGCAUCCUUCACCUCACCAAAGUCAGAUUCUUUUUCACAACCCAGUGCCUCCGUACAGUGGUGUUAUGAAUUCCAUCCACUAAGUAUGGAUCUGCGUUCUGUGUCCAAACCUAUUUCUUAUGCCGCAUUUACUUCCAGUGCCCAACCAUACAGAAAUUUACCCAUGCCUUUGCACAGCAGGAAGCAUAUGGUGCCUGAGUUACUCAAGUCCAUUUCUCAGGAAAGCAGUCCUUUAAAAACAACUUCUGUCCAUCAAGGCCCCCUCUUCAAACAGCCUCACAUUCAUGCUGUUCUGCUUGUGGUAAGAAUCAGUGUUCCAGCUACAGCAAAAAUGCAGUUUGCACUGUAAGAGGAGGAAAUAAAUGUCGGGUCAUCUAAGAGUCCUUCAUUCACUCAGCCAAAAAUGAGACUACCCUGAAUUUUCCCUUUUUCAUUUUUGUGGUACUGAGUCAUGAGUUGAUUUCUUUGGGAAAAAAAAAAGAGAAGAAAAUCUAAAACUGUCUUGUAGUUAAUCAGUAUUAGAUAGAUGGCUAAGUGACAGCUCAUAUGACUCAGGCCCUUUAGGCUGCACUUAUCCCUUGCUCUCAUGCUAUAAAACACGCUUUUCCAG